GGCUCCACGGCUUAGUGGGCUGAAGGGUCUGUCUCAUAAGCAGGAGAUCCUGGGUUGGACUCCCAGGGGGCCU
rnacentral:tRNA from 1 species